UUCGGUGUGAGUAAAGCGGCGGACGGGUGAGUAACGCGUAGGAAUCUACCUAGUAGUGGGGGACAACUCGGGGAAACUCGAGCUAAUACCGCAUACGCCCUACGGGGGAAAGCGGGGGACCUUCGGGCCUCGUGCUAUUAGAUGAGCCUGCGUUGGAUUAGCUAGUUGGUGGGGUAAAGGCCUACCAAGGCGACGAUCCAUAGCUGGUCUGAGAGGAUGAUCAGCCACACCGGGACUGAGACACGGCCCGGACUCCUACGGGAGGCAGCAGUGGGGAAUAUUGCGCAAUGGGCGAAAGCCUGACGCAGCCAUGCCGCGUGUGUGAAGAAGGCCUUCGGGUUGUAAAGCACUUUCAAUUGGGAGGAAAGGUUCACGGUUAAUAACCGUGAGCUGUGACGUUACCUUUAGAAGAAGCACCGGCUAACUCCGUGCCAGCAGCCGCGGUAAUACGGAGGGUGCGAGCGUUAAUCGGAAUUACUGGGCGUAAAGCGCGCGUAGGUGGUCUGUUAAGUCGGAUGUGAAAGCCCCGGGCUCAACCUGGGAACUGCAUCCGAUACUGGCAAACUAGAGUGCGGGAGAGGGAGGUAGAAUUCCAUGUGUAGCGGUGAAAUGCGUAGAUAUGUGGAGGAAUACCAGUGGCGAAGGCGGCCUCCUGGCUCGACACUGACACUGAGGCGCGAAAGCGUGGGGAGCAAACAGGAUUAGAUACCCUGGUAGUCCACGCCGUAAACGAUGUCUACUAGCUGUAGGGGUACUUGAGACCUUUGUAGCGCAGCUAACGCAAUAAGUAGACCGCCUGGGGGAGUACGGCCGCAAGGUUAAAACUCAAAUGAAUUGACGGGGGCCCGCACAAGCAGUGGAGCAUGUGGUUUAAUUCGAUGCAACGCGAAGAACCUUACCAGGCCUUGACAUCCUCGGAACUUUCUAGAAGAUAGAUUGGUGCCUUCGGGAACCGAGUGACAGGUGCUGCAUGGCUGUCGUCAGCUCGUGUCGUGAAGAUGUUUGGGUUAAGUCCCGUAACGAGCGCAACCCUUGUCCUUAGUUGCCAGCACAUU
rnacentral:rRNA from 1 species